GGAGUCUGGGCCGUGUCUCAGUCCCAAUGUGGCCGUUCAACCUCUCAGUCCGGCUACUGAUCGUCGACUUGGUGGGCCGUUACCUCACCAACUAUCUAAUCAGACGCGAGCCCAUCUUUCAGCGAUAAAUCUUUGGUCACCCGAAGAUGCCUUCAAAUGACGUUAUGCGGUAUUAGCAGUCGUUUCCAACUGUUGUCCCCCUCUGAAAGGCAGGUUGCUCACGUGUUACUCACCCGUCCGCCACUAAGUUAAGAAAGCAAGCUCUCUUAACUCCGUUCGACUUGCAUGUGUUAGGCGCGCCGCCAGCGUUCGUCCUCGAGCCAUGAUCAAACUACU
rnacentral:rRNA from 1 species